GGCUCCGUGGUCCAAUGGUAAGGCAUUCGCCUUGGAGCCUGAGGGUCCUUGGUUCGAUCCCCAACGGGACAG
rnacentral:tRNA from 1 species